UCUCUCUCUCGCUCUCGCUCUCGCU
rnacentral:piRNA from 1 species